GUCGAGCGAUGAUGAAGAAGCUUGCUUCUUCUGAUUUAGCGGCGGACGGGUGAGUAACACGUGGGCAACCUGCCCUGUAGAUUGGGAUAACUCCGGGAAACCGGGGCUAAUACCGAAUAAUCCAUUUCCUCACAUGAGGAAAUGUUAAAAGACGGUUUCGGCUGUCACUACAGGAUGGGCCCGCGGCGCAUUAGCUAGUUGGUGGGGUAAUGGCUCACCAAGGCGACGAUGCGUAGCCGACCUGAGAGGGUGAUCGGCCACACUGGGACUGAGACACGGCCCAGACUCCUACGGGAGGCAGCAGUAGGGAAUCUUCCACAAUGGACGAAAGUCUGAUGGAGCAACGCCGCGUGAGUGAAGAAGGUUUUCGGAUCGUAAAACUCUGUUGUGAGGGAAGAACAAGUACGAGAGUAACUGCUCGUACCUUGACGGUACCUCAUUAGAAAGCCACGGCUAACUACGUGCCAGCAGCCGCGGUAAUACGUAGGUGGCAAGCGUUGUCCGGAAUUAUUGGGCGUAAAGCGCGCGCAGGCGGUCCUUUAAGUCUGAUGUGAAAGCCCACGGCUCAACCGUGGAAGGUCAUUGGAAACUGGGGGACUUGAGUGCAGAAGAGGAAAGUGGAAUUCCAAGUGUAGCGGUGAAAUGCGUAGAGAUUUGGAGGAACACCAGUGGCGAAGGCGACUUUCUGGUCUGUAA
rnacentral:rRNA from 1 species